rnacentral:sRNA from 1 species
GCCCAAUUUCGCACGUGCCUGUGGUCGUGUGUCAAUCGGUAGGUAGCCGGACAAGAGGCCGGCCAGCCGCCUGAGGCGAGCGAGCUCCUUCCCACGGGAAGAGUAAGUAACCUCAAGUCUUCUGAUUGGCAGCCGGAGGCGAAACCGGCGCACUCUGCUCUCCGCAGGGGACGCGACUUAAAGCAACGACGGAGCGGGCUUCU